ACCCAGCUGAUGAGUCCCGAACAGGACGAAACGCGUGUCAUGAAU
rnacentral:hammerhead_ribozyme from 1 species